rnacentral:lncRNA from 1 species
CCAGCCCUAAGAUCCUCUCUGAUCUUAACCUAAUGCUAGUCUUCAACCACUGACUUCCCAUUUUUGGUUAUCUCUAGUAACCUCUCAUUGUCUUUUAAGCCUCCAAUGGCCUCUCUCAUGCCAUGCCUGUCUUCUCUAAGGUCUUCAAGGGCCCACGUCCAUGCCGACUUACAUCGAGAGUUUGUCACAUGUAUGUUCUUGGCUACUCUGGUGUGAUUUCAAGGAAAAUCAUGUUGUAUUUGCUACUAUCCUUGGGUGACUAAGCAUUUUUCUUCAUCUCUCUGUGAAUUUCUCUCGAAACCUUAAUUUCUUUGUUAUACCUCCUAGAUCUGUAUAGAUCUAAAACGACUUGAGUUUGUUUCUUCAAUAUUUUACACUAUCCAUGAUAUUCC